rnacentral:lncRNA from 1 species
AAAAGCACUUUCACAUGAUAUUCUCAAUACCUAAACGCUCUUCCUUAUCUUAUCCACCAGCCUAACCUUGUUUAUCCUUGAAGAAUUUACCCAGUCACAAGAGCAUCUCCUCCAAGAAGCAUUUCUGAUCAGAUCACCUCUCCAGAUGAGAUACGGUGUCCUUUCUCUGUGCAGCCAUAGAUUCCAUGCCUACUUCUAACAUCGUUUAUUCUACGCUAUAUCUUGGAGGAACAAAUGUAUCAAUAGGAACUUCCCACAGAAACUGGAUUAUGACAUUGAAACAUGGAAAAAAUAUUGACUUCAACUUGUGGCACAACUGAGAAGGAAACCA